CUGUGGCUGCCCCCCACGUUUCUGUCAUAGCUUCAGCAAAGUGAUGUCACAGCAGUUUGCUGGAGCACAGCACAUGUCCUCACAGUCAUGGGCAAAAUUCCCUGCUGAUCACCGCCAGCACUCAGCCAGAACAAGGAAAGGCACUACCUCAGGAGGGAAGAUGAAUGGAAGUUAGAAAUAAUCAACAAAGCCAGGCAUGUGGCAAGUCAUCACUAAGUGGACCACAAUCCACAAAGACAGGAGCAUGCUGCCUUAACUACAUAUUGGAUCCAAAAGAACAAGGCACUUGAAGGGCAUCUGCAACAGAGAUGAAAGCCUUCUUCUCAGGAAAUAAGGGAUUGGCAAUGAAAAUGAAUAUAUUAGUCAGCUAGUUCCACAAUAGUGCUGCAAAUAAAUCUUCCCAGCAUGAGACAUCGCAGUGAGCUCCAGACCUUCAACUAAUUCCUUUGGUCUCCGGUGUGCAGACAGACCCUCCGCACUCUUCCUCAUCUGGCUCUGUGGGUG